rnacentral:rRNA from 1 species
CUACCCGCUGAACUUAAGCAUAUCAAUAAGCGGAGGAAAAGAAACUAACAAGGAUUCCCUUAGUAACUGCGAGUGAAGUGGGAAAAGCUCAAAUUUAAAAUCUGGCAGCCUUAGGUUGUCCGAGUUGUAACCUAGAGAAGUGCUACCUGCACUGGACCAUGUAUAAGUCUCCUGGAAUGGAGUGUCACAGAGGGUGAGAAUCCCGUCUUUGACAUGGACUUGCCAGUGCGUUGUGGUGUGCUCUCGAAGAGUCGAGUUGUUUGGGAAUGCAGCUCUAAAUGGGUGGUAAAUUCCAUCUAAAGCUAAAUAUUGGCGAGAGACCGAUAGCGAACAAGUACCGUGAGGGAAAGAUGAAAAGAACUUUGGAAAGAGAGUUAAACAGUAUGUGAAAUUGUUGAAAGGGAAACAUUUGAAGUCAGUUGUUGUUGGCUAGGGAUCAACCUGGCUUUUUUUGCUUGGGUGUAUUUCCUAGUGAACAGGUCAACAUCAGUUUUGGUCACUAGAAAAAAGCCAAGAAAAUGUAGCACCUUUUGGGUGUGUUAUAGUUCUUGGUUAUAUAUAGUGAUUGGGACUGAGGUAUGCAGCACACCGAAAGGUUGGGUAUUAGCCACAUUUGUGCUUAGGAUGUUGACAUAAUGGCUUUAAGUGACCCGUCUUGAAACACGGACCAAGGAGUCUAACAUGCCUGCAAGUGUUUGGGUGGAAAACCCAAGCGCGUAAUGAAAGUGAAAGUUGAGAUCCCUAUUAUAGGGAGCAUCGAUGCCCAGACCAGAACUUUUGGGACGGAUCUGCGGUAGAGCAUGUAUGUUGGGACCCGAAARAUGGUGAACUAUGCCUGAAUAGGGUGAAGCCAGAGGAAACUCUGGUGGAGGCUCGUAGCGAUUCUGACGUGCAAAUCGAUCGUCGAAUUUGGGU